GCUGUGUUCCCUGCUCACCUCAAAGAACUCAGAAGCUCAUAUCGGAAGAUAAGGACUUAUUUUCAAAGGAAGGAUGACAAUUUGCACAUAACUUUACUGGGAGGCAGACUUCACCAUGGAUUCAAGGGACGUGAAGGAUGUCAGUUUUUGAAGGAAAUGCUGAAUUUUUACCUCAGGGAUGUAAUCCCAGCCGCCAAG